rnacentral:tRNA from 1 species
GUGGGGCUGGGGCCCAGUGGUAGAGCGCUCACCUCGCAUGCGUGAGGCCCUGGGUUCGGUCCCCAACACCACA